CUCAUUUCCAAACUGGACCAUUAGUUUUCUUGUUAGUGGAAGCGUCAGUUACUACCUGCUUACAGAACUGUUGCUUAACCGAAUUGUCUGAAUUACAGUUUACACAGUUUCUUUGUAUCAUCCAUUGCACAGGCAUUCUUUUGACUUGCUCAUCAGAAGUAUGUGAAGGUAUCUGCUUGAAAUUAGAAAACUUUCUGUAAGAAUCAUGAGUGUUCGUAACUGUCGUGCCUACAAUUUUUCAAAACAUGGAUACAUCCCUAUAGUUGCCACAGCAGACUGGAAAAGAAUUAUACAGAGCAAAGUAUUUGCUGCUAUGAAUAUAGAUUACUCCAGAUUCACACUUGAACAGAGUAAUGAGAAAAUGAUCCACUCCAAAAGAAAAUACACUCCUAUGUAUGAGGUCUUGUGGGAGAGAUGGAGACUUUUAAGCUGUUGUCCACUUAGUUUUAAUGUUCCCUCAGCUGUUACAGUAUUAAGUUGUAUUUUCAUGUGAAAUCACUAUGCUUUAGCUAUCUUACCUUUCUUAUAAUGUCUCAAAAAAUUCAAGUGACUAGAAGUCACUGGAUGGUUUUAUGUGGGAUUUUGCGUACACAGAGUCGUAUACAUGUUUAUGUCAGUCACUUUGCAUUGUAAUGACCUUAUCCACUCAGGAAUUAUGAAAAGAUUCAAAAAGUUCUGGUGAUGAAAUAUUUCAAUUACAGUAUUUUCAGGCUUUUGCUAGAGAUCAUCAAGGGAGUUCCAAACUGAGACACUGUGCUGUGAUCUCAGCCAGGACCUCAUGACAGGUCAAUAGUAAAGGCAAGGAAAUGCUUUUAAAAGAAAAAGAACCAUCUGAUUGUGAUUCCUUCCUUAUUGAGUAGCUGCCCACAUCACUGUGAUAAGCCAUCACUUCUGCUAGCUGAUGACUUGGAAACCAGUAAGGCUUUUGAUAUAAGAACUUGUUAAAAGCUAAGAGCUUUUCUCAGGGAAAAAAAAAAAAAAAAAGGACUAACUGAAUUUCAAAGGAUUAAUAAAUUAUGGGCUUGAAAUACGCACUCAGCCUUACAAUCUUGUCUUCAGUUGACUUCCUAAGACUGGGAUACUCAAUCUAUUAACCUUGCAGAAAAUACCACAAUUGGUAAAUACUAAUUUUUUAAUUGCAUUUGUCUUAAUUGCAAAUAAUCACUUUGUGUGCUUACACCUACAGUUGGGUUGCUUUUGUCAGGUACAACUUG